CGCGGCUCCGGUGCGGGCCCGGCGCCGCACGGCACCCGAGUCGGGCCGGCACCGAUGCUCUGGAGACUCUCUAAGGUCUCUAUACAGCUGUGCCUUGCCGGGAGGCUCUUCGAGAGCAACGCGCCCGCGAAGUUUUCGCGGGGAGACCGGGUGCAGAGUGUCUGCGAAUCCCCAGAACUCGGGCUCUGCUGUGUAAAGGGGAUUAAGCGGGGAGGGACUCGGCAUCUUGUGGAAUGGAAGUGCCUUCCCGGGAACAUUGGCCAAGUCCUGGAGAAAGAGAAGUGUGGCUUUUACCGUGGGUGAAGUUCUGCCGCAACGCGGGUGGCGGGAACCCGGGGCGAGCUUGCCCCCUUCAGCACGUUCACCGACGCCCUGCUGGUCGAAGGUCACUUAGGGAUUUGGGGGAACGACUUGAGGGAUGAGUGGAAGAAGAGGCGUGUUCUAUUUACAAAAUAAUUAAAAAUUUUCUCCCGUCUACCAUGCCCUUGAAUAACAUCAGUUAUAUACUUCGCCCCUUCAAUUUAUAGCUAUUGGGAAAUGCCAUAGGGAAUGUGGAUCAGUGUGAAGAUUAUUAAGGAGGCAAGGAGACAAAUCCCAAAAUACUGUGUACCCUGUUAUCCCAUUUUUAAAAGUUAUCAUGUAUGGAAGGAGGCAGAAAAGACUGGGCAAAUAAUACCAAUGCUUUCACUGGGUCUCUUGGUGAUUGGUGGGAUUGUGGAUGGGUUUUCUUUUUCUGCUUAAUUCUAAUUUUUCUGUAAAGGAGACAUUAGUGUUGUAAUUUCAGGGGAAAAAAUAAAGUAAGAAAUAGUUUGGUGCUUUUCCCCUCACCCCAGUACAGAAUGGCCAGGGUAGACCCCUCUUUCCAAAGAAUAGGUAGCAAAUCUCUUUAGUUACUCAAACUCUUUAGUUACUGCAACUUUUCAUUGUUUCUUAGAGCAUGAAACAGCUGUCACUGUAAACUCAAGAGUGUGUUGAUUUUGUAAAUUGAAACUGUCUCGGAGAAGCCCACUGGGACAUUGGAUAAGACUGGACAUUCUGUAAGAACAAGUGCAUGUUCUUAUCAAGACUGACAAACCUGAUUGUAUGACUUAAGAGAUCUUUAUAACCUUAGAGUACGACUUUGUAACUUAUUCUCUUUGCAGAGAAUAAACCUUACAAAUCAAAAACACAAUCAGAACCAAUCAGUGGCCACUUGAGGAAGUCCUAAAAGUUGCAGAGCACAGACUGUUUCUAAUUGCACAGGAUUAGUAAAAAACAUCCUUGCAAAGACUGUAAAGCUGGCUUUCUAUGUCAUGAGAAAAGUCAGAAGACUGCUAAGGAAAGAAGGAAGAAAGAAGGACAUACCUAUUCAGGAAACUGAGGUGGAGAAAAGAUUGAAGAUAGCAGAGUAGAGAUUUGAACUCAGGUCUGACUUCUUAUCAGGGCUCUUCCUGCCUACACUAUCUCUCCACUUAUUAAAUGCUUCUGGGUAUUAUCCCUGCUGUGCAUCUAAGGCGUCCCUUCCCUCUACACAGGGGCCAUUCUAUGUGUUUUCUUUAUUCUACCCCCAGUGUCUUGCCUGGUGGGCACCUGCUUUUCUCUGGUGCAGGCCUCUUUCCACAUUUGUUUGCCAAGGCAGGGAGGCUGCUCUUGGGUGGAUCAUGGCUCUGUGGACAGACCCAAAAGAAAGCCGUUUUUAUUUUAUUUAUUUUU